CGGGGGGGUGCCUAUACAUGCAGUCGAACGAGUUCUGAUUAUUGAAAGGUGCUUGCAUCUUGAUUUAAUUUUGAACGAGUGGCGGACGGGUGAGUAACACGUGGGUAACCUGCCCUUAAGUGGGGGAUAACAUUUGGAAACAGAUGCUAAUACCGCAUAAAUCCAAGAACCGCAUGGUUCUUGGCUGAAAGAUGGCGUAAGCUAUCGCUUUUGGAUGGACCCGCGGCGUAUUAGCUAGUUGGUGAGGUAACGGCUCACCAAGGCAAUGAUACGUAGCCGAACUGAGAGGUUGAUCGGCCACAUUGGGACUGAGACACGGCCCAAACUCCUACGGGAGGCAGCAGUAGGGAAUCUUCCACAAUGGACGCAAGUCUGAUGGAGCAACGCCGCGUGAGUGAAGAAGGCUUUCGGGUCGUAAAACUCUGUUGUUGGAGAAGAAUGGUCGGCAGAGUAACUGUUGUCGGCGUGACGGUAUCCAACCAGAAAGCCACGGCUAACUACGUGCCAGCAGCCGCGGUAAUACGUAGGUGGCAAGCGUUAUCCGGAUUUAUUGGGCGUAAAGCGAGCGCAGGCGGUUUUUUAAGUCUGAUGUGAAAGCCCUCGGCUUAACCGAGGAAGUGCAUCGGAAACUGGAAAACUUGAGUGCAGAAGAGGACAGUGGAACUCCAUGUGUAGCGGUGAAAUGCGUAGAUAUAUGGAAGAACACCAGUGGCGAAGGCGGCUGUCUGGUCUGUAACUGACGCUGAGGCUCGAAAGCAUGGGUAGCGAACAGGAUUAGAUACCCUGGUAGUCCAUGCCGUAAACGAUGAAUGCUAGGUGUUUGGAGGGUUUCCGCCCUUCAGUGCCGCAGCUAACGCAUUAAGCAUUCCGCCUGGGGAGUACGACCGCAAGGUUGAAACUCAAAGGAAUUGACGGGGGCCCGCACAAGCGGUGGAGCAUGUGGUUUAAUUCGAAGCAACGCGAAGAACCUUACCAGGUCUUGACAUCUUUUGAUCACCUG
rnacentral:rRNA from 2 species